CCCAACUAUCCCUAUUAAUCAUUACGUCGAUCCUAGAAACCAACAAAAUAGAAUCAAACGUCCUAUUUCAUUAUUCCAUGCUAAUGUAUUCAAGCGUAUGCCUGCUUUAAACACUCUAAUUUUUUCAAAGUAACAGUCCUGAUUCCCCAAGACACCAAAUUAAUGACAUCAAGGUUCUUCAGAAGGUAGAAACCAAUAAUGCCAGUACGUACCGAGGCACGACCAACAAAUUGAUCCCGAAAUUCAACUACGAGCUUUUUAACUGCAACAACUUUAAUAUACGCUAUUGGAGCUGGAAUUACCGCGGCUGCUGGCACCAGACUUGCCCUCCAA
rnacentral:misc_RNA from 1 species